CGGAAUAUAGCUUAAAUGAUAAAAGCACCCGGCUGAUAACCGGGAGAUUAAAGGUUCAAAUCCUUUUAUUCCGA
rnacentral:tRNA from 1 species